AUCAGUGAGAUAUCUAAUAAAGCUUCCUACUAGUAGAAGCCCUGUGUGUAUGUGUGCGUGUGUGAAGCACCUCAAAACAGAGAGCUGUGAGUGUGAAGCUCAUAGAGAGAGAGAGAGUCCUGGGCUUGCGCAAAAAUUUGGAACCCUCAGCAGGUGG